AACGAACGCUGGCGGCAGGCUUAACACAUGCAAGUCGAGCGUCUCGCAAGAGGCGCGGCAGACGGGUGCGUAACGCGUGGGGUAUGUGCCCCUUGGUUCGGAAUAAUUCAGGGAAACCUGGGCUAAUACCGGAUAAGUCCGAAAGGAGAAAGAUUUAUCGCCAAGGGAGCAUCCCGCGGCCGAUUAGCUAGCUGGUGGGGUAACGGCCUACCAGGGCGUCGAUCGGUAGCUGGUCUGAGAGGAUGAUCAGCCAGACUGGGACUGCGAACGGCCCAGACUCCUACGGGAGGCAGCAGUUAGGAAUUUUGGGCAAUGGGCGAAAGCCUGACCCAGCAACGCCGCGUGGGUGAUGAAGGCCCUCGGGUCGUAAAGCCCUUUUCCCAGGGAAGAUGAUGACGGUACCUGGGGAAUCAGCCCCGGCUAACUACGUGCCAGCCGCCGCUGUAA
rnacentral:rRNA from 1 species